CUUGACUCCAGCGAUCAAAGAUUCUGAAAUAUUGAGGCCCUAUUUGAGAGUCAUACACUUAUACUAGUUUUAUUUGUUGUUGUUGUUUAUAAUCUGAAGAAAUGAACUUCAGCCAUCUAGAACAAAAAUAAUUGGAUUUGUUGGAGGGUUACGGACUGAGAAAAAGUUUGGUCAACCUUGUAGGGGAACCAGCCCGCUAUACCACCCGCGGGUUCUCCCCUUCCCAGUGGAGACGAGGGAAUGAGAAAAGAAAUAAAGACAAACACACAAAGUUCAAGAGUUAACAAAAGUGGGUCCAGGGGUCCAUCGCAAUGUGGAAACUGCGACAGCCCUGAGCUCUGGAUUCCACUGAUAUUUACUGAAUAAUCCUUAAAGUCCAACUAAUUGGUUAACAGAACAGGACGUGAAAGCAGACAGCCCGUCAGACCACAGGCCUGUGCAUCAAAGGAGCGGUCCACUCCAAGCACCAUCAGCAGGGCAGCAGAGCUCUCUGCCUCUGGGAACGAGCGAGAGAUAGAAGACUUUCCCCUUAUCCUCAGAGGACUUCUCCUCUUUUACAAGCAACCUCCUGCUGUUCCCUUCUGGGGAAUGGAGCAGGGGUCGCUUCCCUUCCCACAAGACCUUUGUUCAGGGACUCAAGUGGGAGGUUGAGCAAUAAGCAAGCUUUCUUGCUUAGAGGCUCCGCACACUUCCUGUGGUUGUUUGUUCCACCCUGCAGUUAGGCAAGCAAGCUCACCGCCUGAUUCUUAUAUUGUCGGACUAAGCAGAAGCUAUUCUUAUGAUUCAUGACUAUAUUAAUAAAGCACUAUUCUAAAGCAUAUUUUGUUAAUCCUUAAACAGGCACACCAUAGGCCAGCCCUCAACCACCUCGGCCCACAUCCAAGCCCCUGUUUUGACCCACAUUUCCCCCAUUUUUUAAAUUUAAAACAGCCAUCUCAAUCAUAACUUGCUUGUGGUUUUGAUUUUCUUUCAGGAGCUGCCUUCCGCAUCUGCAGACUAAAAACAGACAACAUAAGCAGACACAAAUUAAAACAAAAUUAGCAAUGGCAGAGCUUCCCAGAGUUUUAAUCCAUUUGAUAGAAUUGAGCUCCGAGAGCCUAUCUGCAGCUCCAGCAAGCAUUUCUGCUCCAGGCAACAAAUUUAAGUGAGCCUGCGAUGCUGCAAAAAUCUGUUCUUUUAAUUUAGUUAUAUCCAGGGUUAGAUUAUCUUCUCUUCCUUGUAAGUGGCAUCAGACCUUUUCCCACUGAUGUUCAGUAACAUUAUAAGAAUAAGGAGUAAUACAAAAAGCAGAUGUAUUCCAAUCACAUUGCAUUUGCAUACGAUGCUCUAAAUGCAUAAAACGAUCUCUUAUCCAGGUGACUGUUUGCCUCAAAUCAUUAAUUUGAUUGGCCAACUUCUGAUCAAUUUUUGCCUGAGAAUUCCAUAAUCUGGUGGAAUUUUUCUGCCAGGCAUUAACAUAAUGAGCAGUUUGAAUGGAAGAAUGCAAGGCAACACCUGCCACAGCCGCGGUGGUGGUGACAGCAAUCAAGCCCAUAAUCACAGCAAUUAAAGUAAAAAUAAAUCUUAUUGUACGAUUAAGAAUCCCUUUUAAAACUCCAGUUAUUACAUGAAUAGAGGGAAAAGUCUCCCAAGGCCUAUUAAGAGUAACUGGAAUCCAAACGCCCUCUCGUGCUCGGACCAGCAAAAUGCUAUUCCUCAUAUCAAAAGUAGAAUGAAUACAAGUAAACAGAUGGCAAUUGUCACAAGUAAUGGUUUGAGAGUCAGGUAAAAUGAUAAGUUUUCCAACAACUAACAUGUAAGGAGGUUUAACACAACUUUGAAGAGAAAUAGACUGAUUAGACUGAAGAAGCAUGGUAAACAGUAGCUUAUUACCUCUUGUUCCCCAUGAUGCUUCCCCUUUCCACACUCUCAUUCCGGAGGUAGCCAUAAGCAACUUCCACAAUUCUGGAUGUUCCAGACCCAUGACUGGACUAAUUAUCUUUGGCCAGGGAGGAGCAGUACCUUUAUCUUCCCAUUUCAAUGGAUAUAGUGAUUCCAAUCUUCUAACUAAAGUGGGGGGAUUAUUGGGACUUUCUCUAUAAUCUAUCAUGAAGGAAUCCUCAGCGCACCCAGCAUUUUGUCCAGUGCAAUUUCUGGCAAAGGAUCCUUUGGGGGCCCAAUCUAUAAUUAUUCCAUAAGAAUCCUUUUGCAAAACUACUGCACCAUCUGCUACACAGUUGUCCCAAGCAAGAAUCUCUAGUUUUUCUGACCAUUUUGGAUUUCUUUUAGGACAAGCCAGUCCUUGAGAUUUGUAAUUUUUUACUUUUAAAUUUGACCGAAAAUAACCAUCCCCAUAAGUUUUUACAGUCAUGAUAGGUUGGAAAGACAUUCCACUCACUACGUGAUAACUGGGUUGGGAACGAUUAUGAGGAGGUACAUAGAUUAUCCAACUAUGUAUUUGCAAUGGUAAACAUCAAGGAGCAAUUCCUAAACAAAUUGGAGGGUAUUCAUACCAGUUACAUUCAUCAACAUACCCUCCUUCUCAGGCUGUGCAGGACAGCCAUCAUCAAUCGGCCCAGGCAUCCAAAAUACUAUCAUUUGUAUAAACUUCAAUAGGGGAAUCCAUCCAAGUAACUGGCCUAAUUAAAGGAGGAAAUGGAACAGAAGCCAGUAUGUAAAAUUUUCUUCAGUCCAGACAGCAGGGAGACUUACCGCCGCGGUAAUUACCAUCAAGGCAGCCAAGAUCAUAUUACCCGGGAUAAUUGCCAGUUGUUUCUCCUUUAGGCUGCCCUCUGCCAUUUGAGUCAGCU
rnacentral:lncRNA from 1 species